rnacentral:rRNA from 1 species
UACGUAGGGUGCGAGCGUUGUCCGGAAUUACUGGGCGUAAAGAGCUCGUAGGCGGUCUGUCGCGUCGGCUGUGAAAAACUCAGGGCUCAACCCUGAGCCUGCAGUCGAUACGGGCAGACUAGAGUUCGGUAGGGGAGACUGGAAUUCCUGGUGUAGCGGUGAAAUGCGCAGAUAUCAGGAGGAACACCGAUGGCGAAGGCAGCUCGCUGGGACGGUACUGACGCUGAGGCGCGAAAGCGUGGGGAGCAAACAGG